CCUGACCCCAUGCCGAACUCAGAAGUGAAACGCCGUAGCGCCGAUGGUAGUGUGGGGUCUCCCCAUGUGAGAGUACGGAACUGCCAUGC
rnacentral:rRNA from 1 species